rnacentral:rRNA from 1 species
UACGGGGGGGGGCAAGCGUUGUUCGGAAUUACUGGGCGUAAAGGGCUCGUAGGCGGCCAACUAAGUCGGAUGUGAAAUCCCCAGGCUUAACCUGGGAACUGCAUCCGAUACUGGAUGGCUUGAAUCCGGGAGAGGGAUGCAGAAUUCCAGGUGUAGCGGUGAAAUGCGUAGAUAUCUGGAGGAAUACCGGUGGCGAAGGCGGCAUCCUGGACCGGCAUUGACGCUGAUGAGCGAAAGCUAGGGGAGCAAACGGG